rnacentral:rRNA from 1 species
UAAGGAAUAUUGGUCAAUGGGCGAGAGCCUGAACCAGCCAUGCCGCGUGCAGGAUGACUGCCCUAUGGGUUGUAAACUGCUUUUAUCAGGGAAGAAGAGACUGGAUUUAUCUGGUUGUGACGGUACCUGAGGAAUAAGCACCGGCUAACUCCGUGCCAGCAGCCGCGGUAAUACGGAGGGUGCAAGCGUUAUCCGGAAUCACUGGGUUUAAAGGGUGCGUAGGCGGCAUAAUAAGUCAGAGGUGAAAGCUCUCAGCCUAACUGAGAAAUUGCCUUUGAAACUGUUAAGCUUGAGUUUGGGAGAGGUAGGCGGAAUGUGGCAUGUAGCGGUGAAAUGCAUAGAUAUGCCAUAGAACACCAAUUGCGAAGGCAGCUUACUAUACCAUAACUGACGCUGAGGCACGAAAGCGUGGGUAGCGAACAGGAUUAGAUACCCCCGUAGUCC